rnacentral:rRNA from 1 species
CCUGACGACAUUAGCGAGUGUGAACCACCUGAUCCCAUCUCGAACUCAGAAGUGAAAGUGCUUAGC